rnacentral:misc_RNA from 1 species
AACGCACAUUGCGCCCGCCAGUAUUCUGGCGGGCAUGCCUGUCCGAGCGUCAUUUCAACCCUCGAACCCCUCCGGGGGGUCGGCGUUGGGGAUCGGCUCCCUCUAAACCGGGUGCCGGCUCCGAAAUACAGUGGCGGUCUCGCCGCAGCCUCUCCUGCGCAGUAGUUUGCACACUCGCAUCGGGAGCGCGGCGCGUCCACGUCCGUAAAACAACCCAAACUUCUGAAAUGUUGACCUCGGAUCAGGUAGGAAUACCCGCUGAACUUAA